rnacentral:lncRNA from 1 species
AGCGGCAGGAGGCAAGCUUGGUCUGCGCCCCAGCCUAUGGUUUGAACCAUACGGCUGUCCCCAAGUACACAACUAGACAUUUAUUUGGUCGCAUUUCCUCUUUCUCCAGAGGGCACUUUUGAGUUCCAAACAUGUUCAGAGGCCCCUUGAGAACUGGGUUAGGAUUCUGACAUCAGAGGGCAUGACAUGGUGGCACUUGUGUGCAAUCCUAGCCCUGGUGCCGAGGCAGGAGGAUAGUUUCUGGAUAGCCUGGGCUACUUAGCAAGACCCUGUCUCAAAGUGACAAAUGACAGCAGAAGCACCCAGAAUCCUGGGGAUGACAGUUUGGCUUCUAGGGCUGUCACUGAUUUUUCUUGGGGACAUGUCUGUUCUCACACAACACAGGGUGACAAGGAACAACUGGAAUUCAAGUACAGUUGUGUUCUGCGAAAACCUAGGUCCAGUCUUCAAGACACUAAGAAACCUUUGUGUCCCUUAGAGGAGGCAUUCCUGUUUGUUCAGGUAGCAUCCAUCUUGCCUCCUGGGAUCUUGCUAGCAUCCAGACUGCCUACAGUGAGGUAGCCCAGGCUCAUUACCCCCCAAAGGAUUAUUAUUGAAAACACAGGCAAAAAAUAAAUACACUAGGCAUGGUGGCAGCCUGGUCUACAUAGCAAGUUCGGGAUAGCCAGGGCUAUAGAGUGAGACCUGUCUCAAAAAAAAUUUUCCUGUGUAUUUAGUUGGUCCAGUCUAGUGUGUGUGUGUGUUCAUAUUCAUAAGUUUUAAAUUUCUGGUCUAAACUCUGGAUGUACU